AGUGAACGCUGGCGGUAGGCCUAACACAUGCAAGUCGAACGGCAGCACAGUAAGAGCUUGCUCUUACGGGUGGCGAGUGGCGGACGGGUGAGGAAUACAUCGGAAUCUACUUUUUCGUGGGGGAUAACGUAGGGAAACUUACGCUAAUACCGCAUACGACCUACGGGUGAAAGCAGGGGAUCUUCGGACCUUGCGCGAUUGAAUGAGCCGAUGUCGGAUUAGCUAGUUGGCGGGGUAAAGGCCCACCAAGGCGACGACCCGUAGCUGGUCUGAGAGGACGAUCAGCCACACUGGAACUGAGACACGGUCCAGACUCCUACGGGAGGCAGCAGUGGGGAAUAUUGGACAAUGGGCGCAAGCCUGAUCCAGCCAUACCGCGUGGGUAAAGCAGGCCUUCGGGUUGUAAAGCCCUUUUGUUGGGAAAGAAAAGCAGCAGGUUAAUACCCCGCUGUUCUGACGGUACCCAAAGAAUAAGCACCGGCUAACUUCGUG
rnacentral:rRNA from 1 species